GAUGAACGCUAGCUACAGGCUUAACACAUGCAAGUCGAGGGGCAGCAUGGAACUUAGCUUGCUAAGUUUCGAUGGCGACCGGCGCACGGGUGAGUAACACGUAUCCAACCUACCGUUUACUACGGGAUAGCCUUCUGAAAAGGAGAUUAAUACCGUAUGGCAUUCUAAAGUUUCAUGACAUUAGAAUUAAAGGUUUACCGGUAAUCGAUGGGGAUGCGUUCCAUUAGAUAGUAGGCGGGGUAACGGCCCACCUAGUCAGCGAUGGAUAGGGGUUCUGAGAGGAAGGUCCCCCACAUUGGAACUGAGACACGGUCCAAACUCCUACGGGAGGCAGCAGUGAGGAAUAUUGGUCAAUGGGCGCGAGCCUGAACCAGCCAAGUAGCGUGAAGGAUGACUGCCCUAUGGGUUGUAAACUUCUUUUAUAAAGGAAUAAAGUGGUCCACGUGUGGAUUUUUGUAUGUACUUUAUGAAUAAGGAUCGGCUAACUCCGUG
rnacentral:rRNA from 1 species